rnacentral:lncRNA from 1 species
AAAUCCCAAAAUGUUCCUGAAAUGGGGUUACUUCUGUCCCAAUUGAGACAGACGUUUCAAAUUCCAAAUAAGAGGUAGUAGGGUACAACAGCACAGAAGGUACUUUAAGGAAGCUUGAGUCCUCAGAUGCAGAAGAAUUUUUUUCCAAACUGGAAUCAGAAUCCAGAAAAGGCUGAUAGGAAAUACCAACAAUGUUGACAUUCCCAGUUUCAAUGGGCACAGGAGAACCCUCAUUCAUUAAAUCAGGAAUAUCCAACUUGCUCAGCAUCCCAACUCCAGAAACAAAGAAUCCCUAUAAGUUUACUAAAGACAAUGACAAUUUCUCCAUGUUGGUCAGGCUGGUCUCAAACUCUCGACCUCAGGUGAUCUGCCUGCCUCGGCCUCCCAAAGUGCUGAGAUUAGAGAGCUGUAAGAGAGGUCUGUGCCUAAAUCACACGUUUACUACGAGGAAUUAACUGAAAGCACCUACAUGAAGACACCUGGAAACUAUAAAGAACUUCCUGGAAACUAUAAAGAACUGUAUAAUUAUAAGUUCACAAUCUACUGAAGAGCACAGUAAGCAUGACCUUUAAAAAGCUAUACGGUAAAUGUCAUGAGGGGAGAAGUACUGCACACAUGGGAGCCCAGAGCACGAGCAACUAGUCCAGACUUGGUAGAAGUGAGAGCACAGAAGGUGUCAAAGGGGAUUUCUGAGUAAGCACAUGGCAUUGUUUGAUGUGUUAGGAUUUAAUACAUCUUGUGAGCCUCUACAUUUAGAAUGUCACCAGCCAGAUUCUAGAGACACUGCACAUCUCACCUUUCACUAGUUUCAACUACAAUUUGAUUCCAGUUGUCUCCACCUCACCCGUCCAACCUUCUGCUCAUUCUGAGAGCUGGCACUAUAAGUCACCUGUGCCCUCUCCUCAUAUAAACAGCAUAAACAACCUCUCAGUUUGGCAGUAGAAGAUAUGCUAAUUGACAUUUUGAAAAUGGUCAUUUAUAUGAAAGAUAUACAUUUUUUGUUAACAAUUUGGUUUAUUGUAACUUUUAGCCACAAUAUUUCUCCCCAGGUCAAAAAGAACACUGGAACAUGAAAAGAACAGUAAUUAAUUCUUUUCUAUAAGUAGUAUGAAGUGGCUGCUCAUCCUAUGUCGCCACUUGAAGAAAGCGAACUACAGGCUGCUCAUUAAAAUAUCAUAAAUAUCCUUAAAAUGCUUUAAAAAUUUGCAAAAGAGUCUUAUAUAAUCUGGGCAAUGAUUUAAAAGAAGAAAAUGAACAAGAUUACCACUUUUAACAUCAUUAAAAUCUCAAAACAGUAAUUUUUGUCAAAAAUGUAUUUAUCUCCCUAUUAUUUUUACUUGCUCAUUCUUUUCAAAGCAUAACAGGUUGCUUUCCAAAUGAGGAAGAUACAUUUUGUGAAACUAAUGAAAGACUUUACAUUUAACCUUUUUAAAGUAGUAAAUAAUUUUUUAAAAAAAAAACUUGUUUCUCCUUCCCCUUAACUGUCUGCUUCUUUGCUAUUCCGGAAUCCCUAUAAGUUUACUAAAGAGUAUUUUUUAGUUCCCUUAAAUGUUUUAGUUGCUUAAUUUUUCCCUCAUA